CCCUUUUCUUUCUCAAUUCCUAUAUCCUUCAACCAUACAAGUGAUUUUUAGUCUCCCACCUUCUCAAUUCUCAUUCCCUACUCCAACUUCCCCCGAACCAAACAGGCUGGCAUAGUAUACGCAACCACAGCCCACGGGUACCUCCCCGCCGCCCCCAACAGCCGCCAUGGCCUCCGAGGCUCGCAAGACCGCCGCUGCAGCGCGCCCGCCUCCCCGCGACUUCCUCGCCGACCUCGAGGCCUACCUGGCCCGCCGCGACGGUGUCGACAAGCUCCUCAAGAUCUCCCGCUACGCCGCGCGCCUCGCCCUCGCCGCAGGGCCGCUGCCCCCGCCGGCCUCCGCGCGCCUCAAGUCCUUCGAGUCCAGCCUCGGCCUCAGCCGCAAGGCCUUCCGCCUGGGCAAGUUCGUCCAGGACGUCAACGCCCUCCGCGCGCACCCCGGCCCCCUCCCUCCGCCCUUCGUGCUCCUCGCCUACGGCGGCGAGGGCGUCUACUACUUCAUCGAGCAGUUCGUCUGGCUCGCGAAAGCUGGCCUCCUCCCGGCGCACCUCCUCCCCCGCCUCCAGUGUCUCAGCGCCUGGGCCGAGCUGCUGGGCUACGUCGGCUCCAUCACCAUCAAGCUGGAAGAAGUGACGAAGAUGGAGUCUUCAAUCAAGAUGCGGCGGGCGGAGGGUUGUGGGGAGGAGAACCAGGCGGUGACGACGAUGCGGGGGAAGCUGCUGCUGAAGCGUCUGUCCGUUGUGCAGGACGUGGCGGAUGCCUUCAUGGCGCUAGGGGACGUGACUAACGGGAAGGGGUUGCUCGGUAGCUCCACGCUGACGGCGUCCGCCGGAUUGCUGUCGGCGCUGAUCAGCACGCACAAGAACUGGAAUUCUUGCUGAAGUCCCAAGGGGCGAGGUGUGAGUGACGUAGGGAGAAGUAGGUACUACGGAGCUGUAAGCAAUUCUGCCCCAUGAUUGAUUGCCAUAUAGGCGUUGUCAUUGGUGUUUAAAUCAGCCAACCUGCUGCAUAAGUUCUGCAAAUCGUUGUUCCAGCUGGCCAACUUGGCAUUGUUGGUCCCAAAUGCAGAGAUGCUUCAGGUCCGGCUUUGCUUUAGAUUAUAUGAACUGUUAGAAAUAGUUUCAGAUUGAGAUGAAAGAACCUUACCGCUUUCUUAUCCAAUGGAUCUUGAGAACAAAAAGCUUGUAGUUAGGUAGAUGGCUGUGAAAGCACGUCCUGUGUCCCAGCUCUAUGUAACACGGUCGUGGAGGCAAAGACAUUGUUCAGGUGAUCUGUUUUCAGCCCACUGUUGAGGCCUGAAAACAUAUAGCUGUAAAAGCAUAUUAGUAUCUGCUUAUAUUCUGGCAUCAACCGGCUAGGUAUACGAGAAACAGUUUACUACCUCUCAUGAUGGAGUGCCAUAUAUAUAUCGUCCCUGAUGAAACCUGUCAACCAGCUGCAGAAUUUUGGCUAUUUGGUGGUAGUCUACCUCUAGAGGCAGGUUACAAGUGGACAGCUGGGCGCUGCUGCUAAAUGGUUGGGACGCGGCUGUGAUCAGUGAGUGAGCUAGAUCGUGGACUGCUAUAAUUUUUUUUUUUUUUUGCGGGGGUGGACUGCUAUAUUAGUCUUGAAUUGAAUCAAUGAAAGAACAGUGUUACUGUUUUCCUGUCCAGUAGACCUUUGCAGUUAGAUGGCUGUGAAUGCGCAUCAUGUGCUCAGCUCCGUGUAACAUUCCCCCUCUGGAGGGAAUUUUCUGUGUGUUCAGGUGAGCUCUGGCCGUCAUUACAAGGCUAUAGAAUGGGAUUGUGGGAAUCUCAUAAGUCUGGUUGCAUCAGAGAGUAUCUGUCCCUGUCUGCCUCUAUUUGUGUGCAACACAGCCUGUGAAGGAAGACUAGUCACAAUGGGAGUAACUUGACUAGUAACAUCACACAUUUCAAUACAAGAUUGCUUAUGUGGCAGCUAAUUAAUGAGGAAAGAGGGGUUUGUGGUAACUUAACUAGUUACUGUAACAUCACACAUUUUAAGACACAAUGAGUCUAUAGUCUAAUAAAUGAACUCUUUCAUGAUACCACUCAUAUGUUACUACCCAUUAUAGAGGUAGUAACAUAGACUAGUAACAUUGGCAAGUUAUUACUUUAUGUUACUCCCCACUGUGAGCAGUCGAAUAGAACACAGGAAAGCCGCCCGAUCCCCAGGCCACCACGAGAUGGUGAUGAUGAUGAUGACGAUGGAUGGGCAGGGCAGGGCAGGUACCACCGAAUCGAAUUUUGCUGCCGAGUCACGGACACGUCAGGCACGGCACCACUGGGCCAGGCCCAGUUCGGCCGAUGCGCUGCCUGAUACGAACGAAACCCACCGAAACCGAAGGAGCAGUCCAGCCAGCUGGGUUACCAGCGGCGCAAGCGAAAAGGAGCAUGUGAACGGCCACGAUGCCGCCGCGGCCGCGACGCGGGCGACUAGUCCAAGCAAAAGCAGCACACUCCAACGCCAACGCCAACGGUCCAACCACUAGCGAGGAGUAGCGAAGCGGCGGUGGAGCUGGCCAAACCCAAACCACCGCCACCCCGCCCCACUCCCACCUACGCGGCGAUAAAAGCCAGCCAGCCAGCGCGUCCCCCACCCCCCUCUGCCGUACCCGUACGCGAUGCUUCCUCCGCCGCCCUCCUCCCCUCGUAACCUCCACCCCCACCCGUUGCCCCCUCCCAUUCCCGUUUCCGAGCUGCUCCCCUCCCCCUCCCCUCCCCGCUCAGCCGAGCCUCCCCAAUUUCCCGUCACCGCCGCCUUCUCUGACCCGGUCGUAUUUAUACAGGCCCAUUCAAAAUCCACGCCGCAAAAUAUUAUCCACAAAUCCAUCCGGGGUUAGGCUGCUGCUCUGCUUCACUGCUCUCCCGUGGUGACUUCCGGUCUCGGCUCUCGCGUGGUAAUUCGGCGGGUGCUUGGUUUCGGCGGUGUCUCAGGUUGGGAUCCGGCGAUCUGGUCCUGAUUCGUGGUGAUUUGGUGUGUAGGUAGGUAUGGGGGCGGGAGAGGGCGGGGGCCGCCGGCGGCGUAAUCUCGAUGGGGACGACAGCGACGAGGAGUAUGUCUUGGAGGAGGAGGAGGAUGAGGAGGAGGUCCACGAGCUGGAGUACGGCCACGGAGGAAGAGACGCCGCGUCCUCUAGUGCCGGCGAGGAGGGAGGCGGCUCGGACGCGGAGUACGAGGUGGACGACGAGGACGAGGAGGAAGAGACGCCGCGUCCAAAGCGGCCGGUGAAGAGGAAGGCGAAUCCGGCUCCCGCGCGGUCUCGCCGGCGCAGGUAUGAAGACGAUGACGAUUACUCGGAGGAGCUGGAGGAGGAUGAGGAGAUUGGUGAAGAUCUCGACCAGGAAGAGGAGCCGCGACGGCCCAACUGUGAGACGAAAUGUGGUGGCCGCAGCCAGAAAGCGAAAAUGCCUCCCGUGGCUCAGCGAUCUAAUCGGCCGAGGCAUGGGGAGGAGGAGGACAUGGACUUUGAUCCUGACUUGGACGAGGGGGGAGGGGACGAGGACACGGAUUUCGACCCUGAUUUGGAGGGUGACGAUGAUGAGUUUGAGGACGAGGAAGAGGAUGAGGAAUUGGGUGUCAGCCACACCAGAACGAUACCGAGGCUUAAGAAUACAGCGCGCAGAAACCCUGCUUCAAAGCUGCGACGAGGGAAGAAGAAGAAUAGUAAUAGUUGGAAGCUUUCAAAGCGGAAGGUUCGGAAGCCUGCACCUGUAAGGCGACGGAGAAGGUCUUCUGUCAUCGAGCAAUACGAGGAUGAUGACGACGACUUCAUCGUGGUGGAUGAACAGGUCAAGGUAAACCGUAAUUCAAGGAAGAAGGCCAGGUUUGGGAGGCAUGUGGAGGCAGACCGGCCAGGGCCAGUUGCCGAGGCAGAUAUAUGGCCGGCUAUUGAUUCAGACUCAUCAGAGUUUGAGUUUGGAACAUCUGAAGACGAACCUGAGGGUGAGCCAGUGAGAGCUGCAGUAAGGAAGGGGAGGAAAAGGAGGGGGGUAUUGGGGUCAUCCUCAGAUUCUGAAUUUCAUGUCUCGGAUAAGGAAUUGAGUGAUGUCAGAGAAGAAGAGGUUAAGUCGAAGAAAAGGGUACGCGUCUUGCAGUCAUCCUCAGAUUCUGAAUUCCAUGUCUCGGAUAAGGAAUUGAGCGAUGUCAGAGAAGAAGAGGUUAAGACGAAGAAAAGGGUACGUGUCUUGCAGUCAUCCUCAGAUUCUGAAUUCCAUAUAUCAGAUAAGGAAUUAAGCGAUGUCAGAGAAGAAGAGGUUAAGAGGAAGAAAAGGACAUGCGUCUUGCAGUCAUCCUCAGAGUCUGAAUUCCAUGCCUCAGACAAGGAAUUGGGUGAUAACAGGAUAGAAGAGGCCAGGAGGAAGAAGAGGUUACUCGUCUCGCAAUCAUCCUCAGAUUCUGAAUUCCAUGUCUCAGAUAAGGAUGUCAGGGACUUGGGAGAGGCUAAAUCUCUGGUGGCUCAGCCCAUGCUGUCUGUGUCAUCGAGGAGGCUUUCUUUUACAAGGAAUGGAUGGGACAAAGGAAAGGAGAAAAAAGAACUAGUAGAUGCUGGGAAGCCCUGGUGUGGGAUAUGCCUCUCUGAGGAUCAGAGGACGACUCUACAGGGAGUGCUGAAUUGCUGCUCACACUACUUUUGCUUCGCGUGCAUCAUGGAGUGGUCUAAGGUCGAGUCAAGGUGUCCAUUGUGUAAGAGGCGGUUCACCACGAUUACCAAGUCAUCAAAAGUGGAUCUAGAUUUGGAGCUGAAAAAGUCUGUAAUUAAGGUUGAAGAGCGUGAUCAGGUUUAUCAGCCAACGGAAGAAGAAAUAAGGCGCUGGUUAGACCCAUACGAGAAUCUUAUGUGCAUAGAGUGCAAUCAAGGUGGUGAAGAUAGUCUAAUGUUAUUAUGUGAUAUUUGUGAUUCCUCGGCACAUACUUAUUGUGUUGGCCUUGGAAGAGAAGUACCUGAAGGAAAUUGGUAUUGUGGAGGAUGUAGACUCAGUGGCGAGGGAUCAACGCAUCCUAGAAGCCUUACUAACAGCAAUUCUGCCCAGUUAGGCACGAAUGCACCCAUUAGCACAUUUGGAAGGACACCGUCAAUCAACACUUGGCAAACUUUUCAAGGCUUUGAUCUAAAUGUAUCGCCUAGGGAGAUUCCUAGGCAAAACAUUCAUGCCGAUUCACGAGCUUCAGUUUUGGGUGUAUCAACUCCAACUGGAAGGUUUGCAACUCUUUCUAGAAGACGUGGAUGGAUGCGCAUGUUGCUAGAUAGACAAAGGCAUCUGAUUAGUCAAGACACUGGACAUGAUGGUGUGCAGCACAGUGGCUAUGCUCCAAGAGCCGACCCAGACCACAGGAACUUCUGUGCUUCAUCAGAAUCCAACUCUUUGCAGCACAAUGAUUCUUUGCCAAGAAUCGAACCAAAUCGCAGGAACUUCUCUAGUCCUUGGGAAGCAAACAGUUCACAAACUCUGCUUGAUGACAUUCGGGACCAGCACGGUUGCUUUUCUUCUGUUCAAGCUCAGAGAAACUCUACUCCAUGCCUUUUUGCGGAUGGAAACAAUUUCCAACAAACAGAAAGUGUCAACAGCAAUGUCAAGCACAUCUGCAGUAUAAGUCCUCAUUAGAAUGUCAUUCUAUUCUGUUGGUGGCGUGUUGGAUCGACCAUAAGUAGCAAGGACAUGCGCUUCUUACCACACUUUAAUAUCCUCCCAGUAACUGUGAUAAUGCUCUGCCCUGCCACCGAGUAUCUCACUGGAUAUAGCUGGCCAUCGUGCUUCAACUCAUCCUAUGUGGUCAAUGGCAGAAAAAUGAACAUGUUCUCAUUAACCUUUAUUUUAGCUUAGGCAUUUUUUUUCUUUUGUUAUUGCCAUUCAUUCAGUCCUAAACACGACCACGAAGUUCAGCAAUGACCAAGAUGCGGUCAAGAUAUUUCUGAUUUUUUGGACGGCUUCAUAUGUGUAUACAUUGUGAUAUUGGGAAAGCCAGUUCCAUCUGAUGAUCAUUCAACUUGACAUCCUGUCGUCUUAUGUAAUGUAUUGCACUGUUGUUCAGUAUCCAGGUGCUUUCGUCCACGAAGAGGUGUUUGCUAAUUUAACUUCCCAGCAUGUCUCGUGUAAUGAUUUGUGUGGUGCACAGUGGCUCUGAGUAGGAGGAUGCUCCAGAUGGGGAGGGGAGGCGAAUCCACCGACUCGAUGAAGCCUGGACGGGAGAGUUUGUCCGACGAGACAAAGGGGAGAAGACGCUUGAAGAAAAAGUUUAUAUUACUCCCUUGGUCCUAAAAUAAGUGUCUUGAGAAGACGCUCAGUAUAAAUUUGUAUUAGAGCUAGUACAAAGUUGAGACAUUUAUUUUGUAUUAGAGCUAGUACAAAGUUGAUAUAUUUAUUUUGAGACGGAGGGAGUAUAUUUUUGUUGAUCACUUUUUUUUAUUGCAAAAAGCAGCUAAUUGGGCUUAACCCG
rnacentral:rRNA from 1 species